CCUACGGGAGGCAGCAGUGAGGAAUAUUGGUCAAUGGACGAGAGUCUGAACCAGCCAAGUCGCGUGAAGGAUGACUGCCCUCUGGGUUGUAAACUUCUUUUAUAAAGGAAUAAAACGAGGCACGUGUGCCUUAUUGCAUGUACUUUAUGAAUAAGGAACGGCCAACUCCGUGCCAGCAGCCGCGGUAAUACGGAGGAUCCGAGCGUUAUCCGGAUUUAUUGGGUUUAAAGGGAGCGUAGAUGGGUUGUUAAGUCAGUUGUGAAAGUUUGCGGCUCAACCGUAAAAUUGCAAUUGAGACUGGCAGUCUUGAGUACAGUUGAGGUAGGCGGAAUGCGUGGUGUAGCGGUGAAAUGCUUAGAUAUCACGAAGAACCCCGAUUGCGAAGGCAGCUUACUAGACUGUGACUGACAUUGAUGCUCGAAAGUGUGGGUAUCAAACAGGAUUAGAUACCCGUGUAGUC
rnacentral:rRNA from 1 species